UUUAGCAGUUCACGGCAUUUGGUCACUAUUCAAUAAAGCUACCAUGCGUUUUGCGUGAUCCGUACUUUAAUUAGUUUUAAAUGUGUUUGUGCUUUGUGUGCUUUAAUAACUCUGUUCGACUGGCCGUAGACCUUAAAUGUGAUCUUGUGUGACAUCCUCCACUUUGAGAAAUGCUUUGGGAUUAUCUAUAAAGCCGAUUUCGUGUAUUAAGCUUCAAGCGGAUCUACAUGCCACAAUACCUACAAGAAUCUCUUCACGCCUUCGUUUUUGUUUUCGGCCGCAUUUGUGUCAUUGUCCGGCACACAAAACUCGAAUGUAGGAGUGCGGCUUUGUACGUGUAUUUGUAUUUCCGUGCUCUUGUUUGUUACUGGACGGAGGCCGCCGCAGUUUCAUGCCGUACUCAAGAUUCUAUGCUGCGUAUUUAGUGCGACGCACAUAUGGCUAAGCAGGAACAUUUGGCGGCCCAUGCCUUGGCAAUAAACACAAACUAGCACAAGAACACACACUCAGAGAAAUACACACGCGCUCGUAUAACUGCCUGUAUAUGGGAUUUGCGUUUCAGUAGCACGUUGCGUUGCCAGAACUUGCUGAGCUGCCCAGGCGAGACGACCAAAAGCUACGACAGUUCAACUACGACUAACUGAACUGAAUAUCAAAUGAUACUGCCGAGCCAGGCGAUUCCUAAGUGUGAGUAUAUGUACAUGUGUGUACAUGUGCGUGCGUGUGUGUGCAGGCAACGAGCGAUGGCAAAGCGUCCGACACACAGCAGGCAGCGGAAAAACAGCGCGAAUUUGAGUGGAAAGCCCAGCAGGAUAGAAAAGUACAAGCAAAGCAGCUGACACACAUUUUGGGCUUUGUUUUGGUUGUGCUCAGGCGUCGCAGGGGAUAACGCAGCAUACGCCGUGAGGUGGAGGACGCUGCGGCGGCUGCUUGCCGGCGUUUUUCGCUCUCUCUUACAAAAAACAGAUAGAGAGGGAAAUAGAGAGAGAGAGAGAGAGAAAGAGAGAGAGAGACAGCGCCUGCGCUUAGAGACCGAGUGUGUUUCGACUUCAGACAGCGGUCUGCAUAAAUAAAAAAUAUUUUAAUAAAAAGUCUCGAUUGAACAAUCUGGGCUCUUCAAGAUGACCCGUCAACAAUAAAACGAGAGUUAGGCAAAGGUUUUGGCGCAUUGGUCAUCGGAGCUAUUCAUAUAUUCAUUCACUCGCGCAUUCAUUUUAUCGAUUUCAUUUUGACCAAUAUUCGGAUGAACGUUUUGUUUACGAAUUUGUGUGGCACAAGACAUGAAUGAAUGAAUAAAUGAAGUAUACACACACAUGCCAACAUAUUUCUAGAGUAAAAUAGUACAGCUACAACUAAACAACUGUGUGUGGGUGUGCGUGUGUGUGGGUGUGCAUGUGUGCAUGUGUGCAUGCUAUCUUCUUUUCACUCAGGUUGAAUGACACUAGCAAGUGGAUGUACACCCGCCCGCCCGUAGCUUGCACGUUGCUGGUUUGCCGCUUUAUGUCCUCAAUUCCAAGCGGGACGCCAUCAGCGUGUGUGUGUGUGUGUGUUCGUCCUAGGCCUCUGUCAAGUGUGUGUACACUGAUAGCAUCAGUUCGUAUUUGCACGGGAAGUUAGAAGGGCGUGACACAGUUCCGUGGACGGGCAAGCGAAUUUAUGCAAUUUUGUCCAAAGGAAACCAACCGUGUUCGUGCGUAUACUUAAUAUUAUUAAUGACUUUUCACAACUGAUAUGACAACAACCAGCUCGGAGUCCCAUUGCUGCAGUUGGGCUCUCUAAGGCAAGAAAAAAAUUACCAUUUAAAGUUUUUGAAAUUGAAAUAUCUCGGUUAAAUUUCGGAGUGAUAUAGCACUUUCAACUGGUACGGCUCCCGACUAUCGAUAGCCCUACAAAACCCGCAUUCUAAGCGAUGAGACAAAUUGACCAAAAAUGUAGUAGUUACAUCACUUUAUUGUCUGAUUUUGAAAUGGUCUCCAUUAUCGACUGGCAAAUCACGUUUUUUGCGAAAAAUGGCUUGUUUCUGGAAUCAUUAAAACGAUGCCAUUCUA